rnacentral:rRNA from 1 species
AAUGAUGGCGACCGGCGCACGGGUGAGUAACGCGUAUCCAACCUUCCCCUUAGUAGAGGACUAGCCCGGCGGAAAGUCGGAUUAAUACUCUAUGUUCUUCAAUGCGGACAUCUAAGUUGAAGCAAAGAUUUAUCGCUAAGGGAUGGGGAUGCGUCUGAUUAGGUUGCAGGCGGGGUAACGGCCCACCUGGCCUACGAUCAGUAGGGGUUCUGAGAGGAAGGUCCCCCACACUGGUACUGAGACACGGACCAGACUCCUACGGGAGGCAGCAGUGAGGAAUAUUGGUCAAUGGGCGCGAGCCUGAACCAGCCAAGUAGCGUGCAAGGACGACUGCCCUAUGGGUUGUAAACUGCUUUUAUCAGGGAAUAAAGUGAGGCACGCGUGCCUUUUUGUAUGUACCUGAUGAAUAAGGACCGGCUAAUUCCGUGCCAGCAGCCGC